rnacentral:lncRNA from 1 species
CUUAGAUCCCCCGUUAGUCCACCAGGUCCCCAUCAGGCGUUUGGCAGGUUAGAAAAGAGCCAAAGACCCUUCAACGGCAGGUAUACUGUUUACAAGUGUUCUGACUUUCUUUUCUGCCUCAACACCCUGAGAAAUGAAACACAGGAAGUGGGGCCUAACAUCUAGGGCGGAGCACGGAAGGUGGAGGGUGGUGGGGAGGGAGCAUUAUUUAGUACCAUCCGCUCUAUGGGCGUAAUUUCCCACGCCCUGCAUCCGGUGUCUCUCUUAGACCUUGGCAGAUGGUUGUAACUGAAUGUGGGAGACAGCCGCGGAUGGAGAGGGAUGUGAUCACCCCACAGGGAAGCUGGAGGUGCCGGGAGAGGGCGGCGGUCGCAGGCCUGAGACGCUGUUUGGUCACCUCUGGUCCAGAGCAAAGCCAUAGUGAAAAAGAAACUGCUACCGAGAGAAGAGAAAGAAGAAACUGCCUUCUUGGUCUCAACAGACUGGAUUCUCUUGUGGAACAGUCAGCUAGACUAUCAUUCCAAGGUUUGGAAGUUUCACAAAAAUACAAGCAUUUAUCUCGGAUUUGUUGCCAAGGCAUUGAGCACAUUAAUGGAACUGAUCUCUCUAAAGUAAGAAAGAAGGGGA